rnacentral:tRNA from 1 species
GGGCGAGUGGCGGAAUUGGCAGACGCAAAGGAUUUAAAAUCCUUCGGUCGUAAGACUGUGAGGGUUCAAGUCCCUCCUUGCCCACCA